GAACGUAUCAUUCAAGACCACACCAAUUACAAAACACUCAAUUGGUGCAUCUUGGGCUGAAGGUGGCCUGGGGUAAAAGACUGGAUGUCUUCCUGGAAUAUUCAAAAUCUCAGUUGUUGGCCUGUGGGGCGGCUACUGAUUCCUGAUUCUAAUCAUACUACUGAUUCCGUCCCCCCCCCCGGCAUUCCGCUGAGAAAAAGAGAUGUGAAAUGAGAUUAAAUGCUCUGAUUCUAGACAGCCAGAAUCAAAGUAACGAGAACAGCAGAAUGUAGGACAUUUCUCCUUUUCUCCCUAGUGGGUGCACAAGCCUCAUCCUUGGGAUAUAUUCCAAUUAAAGCUUAUUAUCUUGUUA